rnacentral:rRNA from 1 species
CCUACGGGUGGCUGCAGUGGGGAAUAUUGCACAAUGGGCGCAAGCCUGAUGCAGCCAUGCCGCGUGUGUGAAGAAGGCCUUCGGGUUGUAAAGCACUUUCAGCGGGGAGGAAGGCGUUAAGGUUAAUAACCUUGGCGAUUGACGUUACCCGCAGAAGAAGCACCGGCUAACUCCGUGCCAGCAGCCGCGGUAAUACGGAGGGUGCAAGCGUUAAUCGGAAUUACUGGGCGUAAAGCGCACGCAGGCGGUCUGUCAAGUCGGAUGUGAAAUCCCCGGGCUCAACCUGGGAACUGCAUUCGAAACUGGCAGGCUAGAGUCUUGUAGAGGGGGGUAGAAUUCCAGGUGUAGCGGUGAAACGCGUAGAGAUCUGGAGGAAUACCGGUGGCGAAGGCGGCCCCCUGGACAAAGACUGGCGCUCAGGUGCGAAAGCGUGGGGAGCAAACAGGAUUAGAUACCCGGGUAGUC